AGCUAACUGAUACUAAUUGCCCGUGACGCUUAACCAUACAACACCCAAGGGGUU
rnacentral:rRNA from 1 species